CAGCAGUAGGGAAUCUUCCGCAAUGGACGAAAGUCUGACGGAGCAACGCCGCGUGAGUGAUGAAGGCUUUCGGGUCGUAAAACUCUGUUGUUAGGGAAGAACAAGUGCUAGUUGAAUAAGCUGGCACCUUGACGGUACCUAACCAGAAAGCCACGGCUAACUACGUGCCAGCAGCCGCGGUAAUACGUAGGUGGCAAGCGUUAUCCGGAAUUAUUGGGCGUAAAGCGCGCGCAGGUGGUUUCUUAAGUCUGAUGUGAAAGCCCACGGCUCAACCGUGGAGGGUCAUUGGAAACUGGGAGACUUGAGUGCAGAAGAGGAAAGUGGAAUUCCAUGUGUAGCGGUGAAAUGCGUAGAGAUAUGGAGGAACACCAGUGGCGAAGGCGACUUUCUGGUCUGUAACUGACACUGAGGCGCGAAAGCGUGGGGAGCAAACAGGAUUAGAUACCCUGGUAGUCCACGCCGUAAACGAUGAGUGCUAAGUGUUAGAGGGUUUCCGCCCUUUAGUGCUGAAGUUAACGCAUUAAGCACUCCGCCUGGGGAGUACGGCCGCAAGGCUGAAACUCAAAGG
rnacentral:rRNA from 1 species